GAACGGCUGAAUUCAAAUGAGCUGUCAUUGUUGUGUGCAGAUCGCGUUAAUCUGUCCAAAUGGUUUAUGUAUUUCAGUGCAUCUAAAUGCUGUGUUGCUCUCUGGAUCAGAGGUGUAUUUCUGUAGUCGCCUUAUUGUGUCAG